rnacentral:rRNA from 1 species
UCCGUAGGUGGAUAAUUAAGUCAGAGGUGAAAUCCUGCAGCUCAACUGUAGAAUUGCCUUUGAUACUGGUUGUCUUGAGUCAUUAUGAAGUGGUUAGAAUAUGUAGUGUAGCGGUGAAAUGCAUAGAUAUUACAUAGAAUACCAAUUGCGAAGGCAGAUCACUAAUAAUGUACUGACACUGAUGGACGAAAGCGUGGGGAGCGAACA